rnacentral:rRNA from 1 species
CAGUAGCCGCGGUAAUACGGAGGGGGCUAGCGUUGUUCGGAAUUACUGGGCGUAAAGCGCACGUAGGCGGCUUGGUAAGUUAGAGGUGAAAGCCCAGGGCUCAACCCUGGAAUUGCCUUUAAGACUGCCGAGCUAGUAGGUGAGAGAGGUAAGCGGAAUUCCGAGUGUAGAGGUGAAAUUCGUAGAUAUUCGGAAGAACACCAGUGGCGAAGGCGGCUUACUGGCUCAUUCUAGACGCUGAGGUGCGAAAGCGUGGGGAGCAAACAGGAUUAGAUACCCGCGUAGUCCCUGUCUCUUAUAC